GUCUAUGGCCAUACCACCCUGAACGCGCCCGAUCUCGUCUGAUCUCGGAAGCUAAGCAGGGUCAGGCCUGGUUAGUACUUGGAUGGGAGACCGCCUGGGAAUACUGGGUGCUGUAGGCU
rnacentral:rRNA from 1 species